GUACUCUUAUGAUCUUAUCUUGUUGGUAUGCAGCUUGUUGUGGUGGAUUAAAUAUAUUGCUUUAACCCAAUUUGCAAAGCUGGAUUUCUGUUAGGAGGGGCAUCUACAGUGUUUCCUUAACAUCAGCUAGGGGAAGAGACCAAGGGAAGCAAGGGGAAAGUUUGGAAGUUGCUAUCACUUUGCAACCUCCCUCUCUAUUCUGAGAUUAGAUGGCCCUCUUCCAGACUGUUUUUUUCCUCAAAAGGAUUAAUUCUUUUC